rnacentral:rRNA from 1 species
UACGUAGGGUGCAAGCGUUGUCCGGAAUUAUUGGGCGUAAAGAGCUCGUAGGCGGUCUGUCGCGUCGGCUGUGAAAACUCGGGGCUCAACCCCGAGCCUGCAGUCGAUACGGGCAGACUAGAGUGCUGUAGGGGAGACUGGAAUUCCUGGUGUAGCGGUGAAAUGCGCAGAUAUCAGGAGGAACAGCCGGUGGCGAAGGCGGGUCUCUGGGCAGUAACUGACGCUGGAGGAGCGAAAGCGUGGGGAGCGAACAGG